rnacentral:rRNA from 1 species
GCCCAGACUCCUACGGGAGGCUGCAGUCGAGAAUCAUUCGCAAUGGGCGAAAGCCUGACGAAGCGACGCCUGUGUGAUGCUGAAGAAGGCCUUCGGGUCUGUAAAGCUCUUUCGCUUAGGAACA